rnacentral:rRNA from 1 species
GCCAUGCCGCGUGUGUGAAGAAGGCCUUAUGGUUGUAAAGCACUUUAAGCGAGGAGGAGGCUCCCGUAGCUAAUAUCUACGGAGAGUGGACGUUACUCGCAGAAUAAGCCCGGCUAACUCUGUGCCAGCAGCCGCGGU